rnacentral:lncRNA from 1 species
GCAUAGUGUCCACACUUCAGUCUUCAUUUUUGUUACAACAUAAAAAGAUGAAAAAAACUAUUAACAUUAGGCAUACAUGUUUUUGGAAAACGAUUUAAUUUAAAAUACUUAAAUUUGGAUAUAUUGAGAUAAUCUAACCUGUUAAUACAUUUUAAGAUGCAUACUUUCUUUAAACCAAAAACUAAAUUGUGAACAGACAAGAAGCAGACUCUUAGUACUGCCUAUUAAAAAAGAUAUGAUAAAUCUCACAGAAAAACAAGAAAUCUCUAGAUUAUUAAAAACCAAAAAAUGUUGAUCAUAAAAUUGUGUUUCAAAGUUAUAAAAUGCCAAUUACACUCAUCAACUAUUUAUUUUCCUAGGUAGUCAGAAUUAUUAUCACAUAAAUUAGAUCAGAUUGGAAUGUGAGAUAUUUUCAUAUUUCGUAUCCCAUAAAUAUGAGACAUUUAUGUAACAGUUUUUUUUUAACUAGAUUUUGGAUCUGUAUAUCCAAACACUUUAGACAAUGCUUUGUAUUUCAAAAGAACUAAAGAAUAAUUUUCAUGAACCAAAACAAGAAAGGAAGGGUGCAAGUUUUAAAACUGAACUUUCUGUAGUGUCUCGCUUACUUCCUUAAGCUACCAAAAGAAAAUGACUCAUAUGUCCAAGUUUCUGUCAUGAUACUUAAGAAGGCAAAAAUUCAAUAGACAGAAUUAAAUUGAAAGCUAGUCUGAGAAGUACGGUCCGUGCUGAAAUCAGCCAUCUCAAUGAUUAUGUUCUGUCAGGCCUUGAAGUAAGACCUAAGUAAGUUUCCAAAUGAUUUUGCAAUUUAAGUACCUACAACUAAAAACUAAAUGAACAUGCAGCAAAUAACGAGAGGAGCCAGUUCAAUCUGGUUUUAAAUAUAACGAAUGCUAUAUUCGCAGUCUGUCUGCUCAUCAAUAGUGGGCUGCCUAUUGAGCUUUUCUGACUCACAAGCCUAAGGACUGAAACACACAUGGUCUUCUCUGCUUUGACCUCAUGUCUGUCAGGUCAUAUGCCUGGGCCAGGCUGGGUGUCCCAGUAGGGAUCCAGGUAUACCAGAGAACUGUGUAAUGUAAAUGUGUUUCACAUUUAAACUUUCAUUAUUUUCUCAAGAUAUCCCUUUGUGUAUAUGUGGAUAAUCCAAACUGUGAAAAAUGAAUCACAAAUUUUUCUGUCCAAAUAAAUUGCAUAAGGGAUGCUCAAUCUGGAGUCAUUUUUUGAAACUAUAAACAAAUCGACCUAGACAACAUAUUUUCUAGUGUUGUAUAGCACAGAAUUAUCAAGAAUAUCAUACAACACUAGAACUAUUUGAAAUCCUAAAGUAGGAUAAGAUGCUUUUAUUUUGAGACCUCUUCAUUAAUCUUCUAAAGUAUUUCAAAUCAAUUAAUAAAUUAACUAUUUAGUUUACAUCCAAAGAUGACUUCUUCAAGAUGAUGUAAUUCAUUCUGUAAAUAUUGUACAUACACACAUACACACAUUAAAGUAAGGAGAAUUGCAAAAGUAGUUGUGGUCACCAAUAUUGAACAUUAAUUUUGAAGCAAAACAUGACAUAAUCUGAAACAAACAGAAAAUAUAAAGAUCUUAAAGAGGUUUUCUAUUUUCAUAUCAUCAUGAUGUCUAUUUUAAAAAAUCAGACUGAUUUAAUUGAAAUGGUUUUGCAUAAUAGGAUUAUAAUUGUUUUAAUUAGUUUGGACUGCUAUAAGGAAGGAAGUCCUGUAGACUAAAUAACUUCCAGAACCAGCACUGCAUUCAUUUGGGAGGCUGGGAAUCAUAUCAGGUGCCAGCAUGUUCUGGUUCUGGUGAGGUUCAGGCUUAAGGACUACUGAUUGCUUGCCAAAUCUUCUCAUGGUGAAGAAACCGAGUUCUCUAUAGUCCUUUGAAAGGAGCAAUGGUACCACUUAUAAUGUCACUGAACUCAUACCAAUUUAUCUCACUAAAUCUGUACUUCCUGAUACCAUUGGAAUAUAAAGAUUUCAACAUGUAAAACAGAAACAUUCUAUUGCACAUACGUAUCUGUUUACAAAAUAAAUAUGACAUUAGCUUUAUUCUAUGUCUAUAAUUUUUAAGAAAGCAGCUGGCUCAUUUCUGUAAAACAAUACAUGAGGGACAAUAUCCUUAGGAACUUCAGUGUGUGUUCUCUAUUGUGGAAAUUGGAGAGCUGAGAUGUAAAUGG